AUGUUGCCUAUUUUAGAUAUGGCUAAAAAUGUUGGUCGAACAAGACUUGACCACAACACAUGGUUCUAUACGUGGAGAGCGUGCGACAAAUGGUCUUGCUCUAAAACGAGGUCAUGGCAGAAGAGGUCAAGACGAUGCUGAAGCGUCCUUCUCACAUGCGGAACAGGACACACAACCACAGUUGCAUGUUGAAGCGUCCUUCUCGCAUGCUUAAAUUUAAACUUACAUUUCCUUCCCAUAAUAAACUUAAAUUUUUCUUCUCAGAUACCGGUUGCAACAUGCUUAGAAAAUCAAGAGAAGUGACAAAUCAGACAAACUUCCACCAAAGCACCGAUUACCUGUUGGUCGUGGUGGGCAUUGUGGUGACAGCGUGCAAUGGUACCUCCGACAACUCAUCCUCAACCUAAAACUGUGGUAGUGCGUCUUGCUGAGCCUGUGAGAACGACGCUUCAGCAUCAUCUUGACUUCUUUCAUCCCAACCCCAUUUUUUAGCAGGAGCAUUUGCAUGCUCUUUGUGCGAAACCAUGUGCUGCAGUCUCUUUACCAAGUCUUAUUCUACCAACAUUUUUAGCCAUAUCUAAAAUAACCAACAAAAAAGUUUUUAAAAAUUUCAUACAAACAUUAACUCAAACACUUAGAGCACAAAAACAACAAUCACAUUCUUAAAACAAACUCAAUACCACAAAUCAAUAAUUACUAACAACAAUGCCAUUAAAAAAAACUUACAAACAACAACUAAAUCUAUACCUAAACAAUGCUUUAAUAAAUCUUAUUGCUGUAUUUUGCUACUCAAUCCCUAAUCAAUUUCAUCUUAAUCAACAACUAAGAAACCCUAACAUUCAACAAAAACAAAAUUAGAGGAAGGUAACACUUGUUGGAUUUAAAAAGAAAUGUGACAACAAAUACAAUGUCUUUGACGUCGGUUUGAUGGAAAUCAAUGGAUGAAGUUAGAAUAGGCUUUGGAUGUCAAGAACUCAAACUUUCGAUGUUUGAAAUCUAGUAAAACGCAUGAAUAAAAUGGUGUUUGUUCAGGUGUUACGUUGAUACGAAUCAGAAGAUAUCUUCCAAAACUUAGUGAGCAAAAGAUAUAUCUUCUGAAACUAUCAGAAUUAUCUUCCAAGCGACACUAAAAGGGCAUUUUGAGAUUUUUGGGGGGCAUGUAAGCAAUAUCAAGGCCUAAAGAGCAAUUUUCCAAUUUCUAAACUUGUCAUGACUCAAAUCAAAAUUAAUCAAGAAAAAUAUCAAACCUGAAGACUAUUGAUAUUCAAUUACAACAAUUUCAUGUUUUUUUUCACACUUCCAUUUUUACAUUUGAAUGCAUAAUACAGUAAUAAUUACUAUAAGAAAAAAAAUACUUUAUUCAAUCCUAUUGAUAAUUAUUGCAUUCACUAGUUUCCUACUUUUUUACAAGUUAAGCAUAAUAAAAACUGACAUAUUUUAGUAAACUAACCAAUAACUCAUCAUAAUGGAAUUAUCGAAAUCUCAUCAAUCUUGGAAAAACAUCGUAUCUCAAGGUGGAAAUUGAAAGUAAAAGCCCAAAAAUGGUAGUGCCAGGUAAAAAAAAGAGAGCAUCUUUUGGCACUCCUAAGUUUUUUUAGCCCUUUGAAAAUACCCAUUCAACUUAAGCAGCAAACUCAAUUCGCUACUUAAGUAGCGGACGGUGUACAAUCUUGAAAAAUGUAUGUUAGAGGUAUUUUUUUUCUUUCAAAUUUCUUAUUUUUAUAAUGUCCGCUAUUAAGUAGCGGAAGGGUAAAAUAGAAAACUAAGAGGGCUUGCGAGAAGUAUAGGGGGGACGCCAAAAGAAGCUCUCAGUACAAAAACUUAGAAAGUCAAAAUCAAUUUAUUGGACAAAAAAAAAUGCUCUUCCUUCACAAGCCCAAACCUAUUUAUUGGACCANNNNNNNNNNNNNNAUUGUGGGGGAGGUGAGACGGUCUGUGCAGUAAUAGGCAUGCUACUGUGUGUCCACAGUUCAAACAUGCCAAUAGUAUUGUUAACUUGGUGAAAGAAAACAAUUGUUUGUAUUACAUGACAAAUUUAUUGCAAACAAGUCCAGUAAAUCAAAUAAUUAGUUCAUAAACCAAUCAAUUGCUAAAUAAUAUUAAAUUUUGGCACAAGAGAUUUGGUUAAAAUAAAAUAAAGAUGUGAAAGAGUUUGAAGAUAACAGCUCAACAACAGAGCACGCCCAGCAGGUUGUUUAAAACUAAACCAAGUAAUUCAAUUUUCCCAAGAAUUUUGAUAAUCUCGCUCUAAAACUCAAAUCAUUGCAGAGUAAAAAAAAACAUGCUGGAGUACUAAUUGCUUGUUUGGUAAUAUAGUGAGUUUGCCGAAAUCAAGACCGCCUCCGAUUUUGUCAAACUCACAAUGAUACUAAACAUGCACUAAGUACUCACUUCAAGAUAUAUGCAUAUAUCUUUUUGUUGAAAAAACAAAGAUUAAUUCCUGGACAUAGGCCUUAAUUUUGGCACAUAACACAUGUUAUAGAGCAAGAAUAAGCUGCAGAGGUUGAAAUAGAAUGAAAAUAGCCUAAAAAUAGUAAACUACACAUGAAAAUCCAAGAAAAUUAUAUUUGACGUCCAAAUUUUAUGUAAAAAUUCAUUAAUCCACAGACAAUUACCCAAAACAAGUCCCAACUACAUCACAAAUAAAGUACUUUGCUGAUUUAGCUGAAAUAAUUCAAGAUAAGACAAACAUAUCAUAUGUCAUCAUAAAUUUAUGAAGAAUUGACUCAUGGCUGCUUUGUAUGACAUCAUGAUAUUUGAAAUUGCAAGCAUGGCAUUUUUCUAUUAAACUACUAAUCAAACUCGUAAAUAGUCUUCACACACAGCCAAAAACAGUGUGGAACAGAAUAUCAAUUCAGUAUAUACACACAAGAUGCCUUGUUUUCACUUUCAUAUAAUACAAAAAAUACAUAAAAUUGCACUAUGACAAUCCAACGAGCCAGGAGGUUUGCAAAUUGUAGUAAAUUAAAUUCCCUCUCCAUCAGUACCCAACGUUUUGCAAAAAUGAAUUAAAAAAAAUCAUAUUUUCUAUCAAACAUAUAUAUAAUAUAUACAUUAAUUACAUGCUAAUAUGCUAUUCAUCAAAUCAAAACAAAACAAAACAAAACAAAAAUCAUCUUCUACCAAAAUAAAAUGUCAUAAAAAAAUAUGCUUACAUGGAAUGGAUGAACUGGUUCAAAGAUACACUUCUAGUUCUACCAUGUCAAAAUAUGCAUGCGUUGAAUCAAUGAUGGCUGGUUGAAUUGGUUCAAGUUCACACCUUCUUUACCUUUUCUCUAUUUCCUGUCAAAAUUAAAUAAGCAACUUAGUUAGCAUGAAAAGAAAAACAUCUUAUAGUCUUAUUCAUAGUCUUCUCUACUCCCCACCCACAACUUUCCUGUCAUAGUCUCACCCUAACUAACGAACAUCUAUAUACAAAUAACAAAUAUAUUUAAUCACACAAAAUUUCUGAAUCCCAAAGUCAAUAGCAAUAAUAAUGAAAACAAUAUAAAUCAAAUAAACAAAUAGAAAACAAAAGAAACAGCUUCAUUCAACAGCUUUAUUCCAGCAAGCACCUAAUUUCUUUCUCUGUCAAAUUUGAUAAACACAAAAUCAAAAGAGACUAUUUAGAAUUGAAUACUCUUACCAUUACCACCCCCACCGCGUCGUCGCCGCCACCAUGGAUAGGUUGGUGAAAGCAGAGUUCAAGGAAGUGGAGCUUAACUUUCAGAAGAAUCAAAAGUGC
rnacentral:lncRNA from 1 species